rnacentral:rRNA from 1 species
UACAGAGGGUGCAAGCGUUAAUCGGAAUUACUGGGCGUAAAGCGUGCGUAGACGGUUAUGUAAGUCAGAUGUGAAAGCCCCCGGGCUCAACCUGGGAAUUGCAUUUGAGACUGCAUAGCUAGGGUGCGGAAGAGGGAAGCGGAAUUUCCGGUGUAGCGGUGAAAUGCGUAGAUAUCGGGAGGAACACCAGUGGCGAAGGCGACUACCUGGCCUGUUCUUGACGCUGAGGCGCGAAAGCUAGGGGAGCAAACGGG